rnacentral:tRNA from 1 species
GCGCUGAUAGCUCAGUAGGAUAGAGCAUCUGCCUUCUAAGCAGAGGGCCGGGGGUUCGAGUCCCUCUCAGCGUGCCA